UCCGAAAAUACACAGAAACAAAGAGAAAGAGAAUAACAAUAGUAAUAUUAAUAAUGCGUUCCAAACAGGCAAUUCAUUUCUAGAGAGAGAAAGAAAGCAGGGAGAGAAACAGCGAAUUAUUCUUCAUGGAGGCUGAGAAGAAAAGGAAGAAAGCACAGAUCGGCACGGUGGAGAGCGGUGGCGGACGGCGGAGAAAGGAGGCUGCCACCACCCCUCCGCCGACGGAGGAAGAGGUGGAGGAAUUCUUCGCGAUUCUCCGGCGGAUGCGUGUUGCCGUCAAGUACUUCGAGAAUAAUAAUAUCAACUGCGAUACACCUAUUAAUCUAACUGAUAGUUUGGUGCCGGUGAAGACGACGGUGACUGAGCCGGUUAACGACGUUAAAGGUGGAGAUAACGGCGUUUUGGAUCUCAACUCGAUUCCUGACGGCGAAAGUAACAGCGAUUAACGUAGGUGGUUAUGCAUGGUUUUAUAUUACUUGUCAUGUGAUAUUUAUUUUUUAAUAUUUAAUUCGUGGACAUGUUUUGUUGUUUUAUUCUUGCGAUUAUUCUUGAGAGUAUUUAGAAAAUUAUUUAUUUAUUUUUUAAUUUAGAAAAUUAUUUCUUUAGGAGCUAUAAUAAAGAAGAAAGAUGAGGGUGAGAAAAUUUAUUUAACAACUUUUGACUUUAUAUAUAUCUUUCUCACUUCAUUUUUUUCUAUUUAUAUAAAAAAACUUAAAAUUUCUAAUUAUGUUAUUUCCUUCUCAACUUACAAACAAGAAUGAAAACAAAUAUUCUAGUUUAAUUUCUAUAUAUAUAAUGAAAGAUUGUUGAGAUUUUAUAUUUAUAUAGUUCAAGACUUUAUAAAGUUGUGAACUAGCAAAGUUCUUGAAUAAUAUAUACUUAGAACUACAAAAAUUCAUGGUUCAUUCUAAAUGUUGAGAAAACUUGAAGUUCUAUAAUGAUUAUAGAGAAAUAUUACAUAGCAAAAAAUCAUGUAUUAAAGGAUUCUAAAUUGAUAUUUUUACAAAUAAAAAAUAAUAAUUUUAUAAAAAAAAUUAAUAUAAAUACUAAAAUAGUAAGUGAGGUCAGGGGAGGAUUCAGUCUCUUAAGUUAGUGAGGUCAAAUUUGAAAUAAAUAAAUUUUUGUAAAAAAUAUAAUAUAAUAAAUUACAAAACUAAAUAAUUCCUAAAUAUUAUUUAUAGUAACAUUUUUCUAGAUUUCAAUACUUAAAAUUGUUGCAUGAUAGUCUCAUUUUUAUUAGUUACAAAAAUUUACAUGCAAUUAUAAAAAAUCUCAAAGCAAUUAAUAAAUUUGUGAAAUUAUAAAUAAAAAAUACAACAUAUCAAUUUUUCUCUAAAGUCGAACUAGUGAGAAGAAUUAGGCCAAGUCGCUCGACUAGAAACGAAGAGACAGAGUAUUCAUAUAUAGUGACAAAGGUAAUAUAAGAUAUGAAUUUUAAGAGUUUAAUACUACCUCAAUUCCAAAAUUAAAUAUAUAUUUUGAUUUUUAAAGUCAAUUCACGAAAUUCUAAAACUCAAUUUGAUAUAAGUUCGUUCAAAAUUUAAAAACAACAAAGAUAAUAAUCAGUACUCCAUCUGUCCCUAAUUAUUUGACGUUUUAGAAUUUUUUAUUUGUCCUUAAUUAUUUGACGUUUGUUCAAAUCUAGGAAAAUUAAUGACAAUUAUUCCAAAAUUACCCCUCAUUACUUUGCCUAUUUUUUUUAUACUUUAAACUCUCUCUCCUUAUCCCAACAAAACUCUCUUUAAUGUUUUAUAAUCAUUACCCCUCAGUACUAUAUUUAAUGUUUUAUAAUUAUUAUCUUAAUUUUUGUGUUCACCUCUAAAACGUCAAAUAAUUAAGAUCGGAUGGAGUAAUGUUUUGUUCCAGUGUUCCACUAACAAGAGCAUUUCACAAUAAAGGGUUUAAUAUCAUGCACAUUUUCAAUUGUGGUCAAAUACCCCCCACUAAAUUAUGUGUUGGAUAAAUUAUAGACUUGUUUGUUUUCAUGUGUUUAAUGCAUUUAAAUAAAACGUUUGAAAUUUUUUUAAAAUGUAAGGCUAUAUUUGUUUGCAGAAAUUAUAUAAUCUCGGUAUUAUAAUCCAUGAAAUUAUAAUUUUUAGGUUUAUAAUCCCAAGAUUAUAAUUGUAAUGUUAAGACUAUAAUUUUUGGUCACUUAUUUUAAAGACGGAGGUAAUAGCCGAAUAAUAUUUUAACUAAUAAAAAUUAAAGAGAAAUGUCUAUAUAAUAAGAUAGAAUAAAUUAAGUACAAUUAUUUUUAAUGUCUAUAUAAUAAGAUAGAAUAAAUUAAAGUCUGAGUGUCUUGUACAAUAUUCUCAGCCGGAUUUAAAACAGUAGAAGACAGGGAAUAUUAAUUCAGUUAUAGCCCAGUGGACUUAAAUUGGCCUUGUCAAAUUCUUUUGAUACCUACUUGUUGGGGUGGACAAAAGGCUUUUGUUUGUUUUAAGAACAAUUAUAUAUUUUAUUAUAUUUUUAAAAUAAUUAUAACAAUAGUAUACUCAUAAAAUAUUUACAUAAUUAAUAUAUUUUUAUAUUUAUUUACAAUAUUAGUGCAAUUAGAAUUCCUUAAUUUAGGAAAUUAGUAUGCAAUUAGGAUUCCUUAAUUUAGGGGAUUAGUUAUCCCCAUGGCUUUUUCUCUCCUCUUCUCUCUCUCUUCAACUAAAUCAACUGCAUUAAUUAGUCAUCACCAUUUUUCUUCAUUCAACGUAUUCUUUAUAUAUAUAUAUAUAUAUAUAUAUAUAUAUAUAUAUAUAUAUAUAUAUAUAUNNNNNNNNNNNNNNNNNNNNNNNNNNNNNNNNNNNNNNNNNNNNNNNNNNNNNNNNNNNNNNNNNNNNNNNNNNNNNNNNNNNNNNNNNNNNNNNNNNNNACAUAGCAAUCACAAGAACAGAACAACACCACUAAUUAUGGGCCUGCCCUCCUCCUCCUCCACCCUCCUCAUCCACGCUCCGUCUCCCUCCGAUGGUCGGCCGAAAUAAUCAAUCGCUUCACCGACGUCCUCCUCACCCCCAUCCACGACGAUAAUAUAUUGAUACAGAAUAACAAUUAAUGGAAAAUAUAUUGAUCCACCUCCACACCUUCAGUUUUUUCAUAUUGCAGUGGGUAUCCAAGGUAACUAAUUCAGUUUUAUUAAGUUACCAAUUAUUUUGAAUGUGAUGUAGUUGGUAGCCAAACCUUCAUGCAGUUAGUUACCAAACUUUCAGACCAAUGUAACCAAUUCAUACUACAGGUGUAGAGGUAGAUUAGUUACCUUGGUAUAAAGGUUUAAUUACAUUGGUAUAAAAGUUUGAUUACCUUUUUUAAGAAGGUUUGGUUAUCAGCAUUAUAUUACACAUCACUCUCAGUGUUCUUAUUUUCUUUUGGACAUGAAAUUGGGUCUCACUGGCGAAGGUGGACAUGAAAUUGGGUCUCACAGGCGAAGGGGAGGAAGAAGAUGACGUUGCCAAACUUUGAAUAUAGCAAAGGGGAGAUGACGUUGCCAAACUUUGAAUAUUUGAAUUAUUAUUUUUGAAUUUGAAUUUAUUUUUGUUGUUAGAUCCAAGAUAUUUGAAUUUGAAUUAUUAAUUAUGGCAGUUAUUUUUCCUUGAUUUUAAGUUUCCUUAUUAUUAUGAAUCGAAUCCUAUACUAAUUCCCUAAAUUAAGGAAUUCUAAUUGCACUAAUAUUGUAAAUAAAUAUAGAAAAUAUAUUGAUUGUGUAAAUAUUUUAAGAGUGCACUAAUAAUAUAAUUACUUUCUAAAUGUUGUAUAUUAUUGUAAAUGACCCUUGAUUUUAUAUUUAAUUUAUUGGACGAAUUGAUACCUCGAGCCCCUCACGGGCCUGAAUGUGCUCCAUUAUCAUACCAGACAGAUGAACUCGACCCCUAUUGAAAGAUUAUGAAUACAAUCAAUAUGGGUCGAGUUUCCAUAAUGCGUGAAAUACAUACAAAUUAGAUUCCUUUCCAUUGGGAGAUCUUAUUUAUAUCAGCAGAACCAUUUCUGAGCACGGGCGGGAGGGUCGACCGUCCUAGAAAUAUUAGAAAAAGUAUCUUUCAAUGAAUGUAUUUUCAUAUAUUUUGUUGUAGUUAAACUUUUUAUAUAUUUUAAUGUAGUCGAAGUUCUCAUA
rnacentral:lncRNA from 1 species